UCUAAUAUGGCAGAUUAGUGCAAUGAAUUUAAACUUCAUAAAUAAAGAUAAAUUUCUUUUAUUAGAA
rnacentral:tRNA from 1 species